UACGAAGGGGGCUAGCGUUGCUCGGAAUCACUGGGCGUAAAGCGCACGUAGGCGGCUUUCUAAGUCAGGGGUGAAAUCCUGGAGCUCAACUCCAGAACUGCCUUUGAUACUGGAGAGCUUGAGUCCGGGAGAGGUGAGUGGAACUCCGAGUGUAGAGGUGAAAUUCGUAGAUAUCGGGAGGAACACCUGUGGCGAAAGCGGCGCACUGGACCAUAACUGACGCUGAGGCGCGAAAGCUAGGGGAGCAAACAGG
rnacentral:rRNA from 1 species